rnacentral:rRNA from 1 species
AGAGUUUGAUCCUGGCUCAGAUUGAACGCUGGCGGCAUGCCUUACACAUGCAAGUCGAACGGCAGCACGGGAGCAAUCCUGGUGGCGAGUGGCGAACGGGUGAGUAAUAUAUCGGAACGUGCCCAGUCGUGGGGGAUAACGUAGAGAAAUUUACGCUAAUACCGCAUACGAUCUACGGAUGAAAGCGGGGGACUCGCAAGGGCCUCGCGCGACUGGAGCGGCUGAUAUCAGAUUAGGUUGUUGGUGAGGUAAAAGCUCACCAAGCCGACGAUCUGUAGCUGGUUUGAGAGAACGACCAGCCACACUGGGACUGAGACACGGCCCAGACUCCUACGGGAGGCAGCAGUGGGGAAUUUUGGACAAUGGGCGCAAGCCUGAUCC